AUUUAUGAAGCUAAAAAGUGUUAUAUUGAAGAUAUAAAGAUGAGUAAUAUCCAUAAAUU
rnacentral:tRNA from 1 species